UACGGAGGGGGCUAGCGUUGUUCGGAAUUACUGGGCGUAAAGCGUACGUAGGCGGCUUUUUAAGUCAGAGGUGAAAGCCCGGGGCUCAACUCCGGAAUUGCCUUUGAAACUGGGAAGCUUGAACAUGGGAGAGGUAAGUGGAAUUCCGAGUGUAGAGGUGAAAUUCGUAGAUAGUUACGGAGGAACACCAGUGGCGAAGGCGGCUUACUGGACCAUUGGUUGACGCUGAGGUACGGAAAGCGAUGGGGGAG
rnacentral:rRNA from 1 species